GACGAACGCUGGCGGCGUGCUUAACACAUGCAAGUCGAACGGAAAGGCCCUGCUUUUGUGGGGUGCUCGAGUGGCGAACGGGUGAGUAACACGUGAGUAACCUGCCCUUGACUUUGGGAUAACUUCAGGAAACUGGGGCUAAUACCGGAUAGGAGCUCCUGCUGCAUGGUGGGGGUUGGAAAGUUUCGGCGGUUGGGGAUGGACUCGCGGCUUAUCAGCUUGUUGGUGGGGUAGUGGCUUACCAAGGCUUUGACGGGUAGCCGGCCUGAGAGGGUGACCGGCCACAUUGGGACUGAGAUACGGCCCAGACUCCUACGGGAGGGAGCAGUGGGGAAUAUUGCACAAUGGGCGGAAGCCUGAUGCAGCAACGCCGCGUGCGGGAUGACGGCCUUCGGGUUGUAAACCGCUUUCGCCUGUGACGAAGCGUGAGUGACGGUAAUGGGUAAAGAAGCACCGGCUAACUACGUG
rnacentral:rRNA from 1 species